rnacentral:rRNA from 1 species
UCGAGUGCGCGGUAGCAAUACUGGCGCACGGCGCACGGGUGCGUAACACGUGGGCAAUCUGCCCUCGAGUGGGGAAUAACCCGCCGAAAGGCGGGCUAAUACCGCAUGACAUUCCCCGGACUUCGGUCUGGGAAAUCAAAGUCCGCAAGGACGCUUGAGGAGGAGCCCGCGGCCGAUUCGCUAGUUGGCGGGGUAACGGCCCACCAAGGCGAUGAUCGGUAGCUGGUCUGAGAGGACGGCCGCCCACACUGGAACUGAGACACGGUCCAGACUCCUACGGGAGGCAGCAGUGGGGAAUCUUGCGCAAUGGGCGAAAGCCUGACGCAGCGACGCCGCGUGGGGGAUGAAGCUUCUCGGAGUGUAAACCCCUUUCGACCCGGAAGAAAGCCCGCAAGGGUUUGACGGUUUCGGGUAUAAGAAGCCCCGGCUAUCUACGUGCCAGCAUCGGCG